rnacentral:rRNA from 1 species
AUUGAACGCUGGCGGCAGGCCUAACACAUGCAAGUCGAGCGGAUGAGUGGAGCUUGCUCCAUGAUUCAGCGGCGGACGGGUGAGUAAUGCCUAGGAAUCUGCCUGGUAGUGGGGGACAACGUUUCGAAAGGAACGCUAAUACCGCAUACGUCCUACGGGAGAAAGUGGGGGAUCUUCGGACCUCAAGCGAUCAGAUGAGCCUAGGUCGGAUUAGCUAGUUGGUGAGGUAAAGGCUCACCAAGGCGACGAUCCGUAACUGGUCUGAGAGGAUGAUCAGUCACACUGGAACUGAGACACGGUCCAGACUCCUACGGGAGGCAGCAGUGGGGAAUAUUGGACAAUGGGCGAAAGCCUGAUCCAGCCAUGCCGCGUGUGUGAAGAAGGUCUUCGGAUUGUAAAGCACUUUAAGUUGGGAGGAAGGGCAGUAAGUUAAUACCUUGCUGUUUUGACGUUACCAACAGAAUAAGCACCGGCUAACUUCGUGCCAGCCGCCGCGGUAAGAC